AAUGGUGGUCACUAUUUGGUAGUGAAACACCAAACUUGCAAAAGUUUGCCAUGAAAGUGUUAAGCCUAACUUGUAGUUCAUCUGGAUGUGAGCGAAAUUGGAGUGUGUUUGAACACAUUCAUUCCAAAAAGAGGAAUAGGCUUACACUAUCGCGUCUCAAUGAUCUAGUGUACAUUAAGUACAAUAGAACAUUGAAACGUCGUUGGUUAUGAUGCUCGUGAUCUUAUUGAUCCAAUUCGCUUGGAUAACAUAGAUGAUUCCAACGAAUGGUUAGUUGGAUGCCCCGAAGAUCAAGAUGAUGAACUAGUAUAUGAGGAUGAUGAUCUUACUUGGGGUAGUGUUGCUACGGCAAUUGGAGCGGACGAGAGUAUCUAUCAUCUUAGGGGACUUUCUUCAAGAUCAACAGUACUUGACAAGGGCAAAGGAGUAGAAAGUACAUCUUUAAGUUCAUCUUCAAGUAGGACUCGGACACUAAUUGAUGAAGAAUACGAGGAGGAAGAAGAUGAAGAGCAAUAUAAUGAUGUAGAAGAUUUUGAUCUUCAAGAGUUGGAUAAUUUUGAAGAAGAAUAGACUUUUAAAGUUUUGGUUUAUUGUAUUUUGAAAUUUGAAUUGUUUGGUCUUUAAAGUUUUAGACAUUCUAUUGGUUUUUGAAUUGAAUAUUUGCUAA